AUUGAAUUCUGCGCUGUGGAACAUCUUGGUUUCAUUACGCAUCUGCUCAUUUCGAUUAUCUAAUAAGCUAUCUUGGAUCCUAAAUUGUUUCAUGCUGAUUCAGAGUAUUCUUACAUGACAACGCUCUACUUUCUUACGGAAGCACUAUGAGUAGUGUGUUCUGAUAUGCAAUUAGUUUUCCUAUAGUUAGCAAACCUGUGUACUGAGGACUGUUUCUUCUGGUUUGAUGCAGGCAGUAAGUACUGGAUGUUUUUCUGAGGAAGGUAGAAUGGCUACUCAAGAAAAAGAAAAAGAUAUUGCAAUGCUACUAAGAAAAGGGAAAUUCAAGGCCAUCUAUUACAGUAGCCAAAAAAGGCAAUAGUACCACCCAUCAAAACAAGAAGGCAUCCAAUGAACUAUUCAGAGGGAGAUUGGAAGGGAAAGAAGAAAUGGUGAGGGGGGUUGAGGAUACAAUAGAUGACACCUAUUUGCAAUAAUCUGCUGGCUCAAAUGUUGGCGGGAGUGUGGAUAUUCUGAUUGAUGGAUUUGUCCCUCCGGCUAGCAGUUGUUGCUCCUAUGUUUACUUUAGUGCGGCUUCUACGAUCAUUUUUCCCUCUCCUCCAGCUACUGAACAGAUUUUCUUCUGGUCAGCUCUCUGUUGCAUACCAGUUAGUAAAUUACCUGUUAUUGACUUAUCGUGCUUAAAAAAUUUCAGUGGGCAAUUUUGCUUGCUUCUCUAAAAGUAGCAUAUUAAAUGGUAGCAAGGAGGAUGCUCUUCCAGCUAUAAAUUUUUUGCAGACAUUUGUUGGUUUGAACUGUCCAAAGGUAAGCAAACUAAAUCAGAUUGUUGAGCUAUCAUCAUCUGCCUGCUCAAAUUAUUUGUGAUAACGAAUGUUUAAUGUUUUUGAACUAUAUGCAAAGCUUCUAUGUGUUCUCUUAAAGAAAUAUUCCAUAGUACUUAUCGACCACGAGAUACACUACAAAGAAACCUUUGGAGUUCAUUUUCUCCCUAUAUACUCUCGGGAUCUGUUUUGUUUCUUAUUUCUACAUUGGCAACUUCCUUGCUAUAUAGAACAUGAUGAUGUUGUAUUGAACUCCAUGCCUCAAUUAGUCUUUUAUGCUAGGUAGCAUCCCUCCUGUGCAGCGUGGUAUCUUGAAAAUUAUUUCUAUGCUGCGCCCACCAGCUAUGUUAUCAUCAAUCUGGCCCAUUACCCUCCUUGAGAUGCUAUGCUAUCUUAACGGGGAAAAAGCCCCCUGCACGAGAGUAGUCAAGAAGUACGCGAACAGAAUACUGAUGCACUGGCAAAUGGCAGAAAGUGUGCUUCUGUGGCACAAAAGGGGAAACUAUUGUGGGCUGUGGCUGGGCCAUCCUAUUUUUUUUUGUAGAAAAGCAUGUGGCAAUCAUGGCUUCUUAAUUCGGCACCGUCAAAAGUGAUUUCGAAUGAGAUGACAAUGUUAAGGUGUGAUCCCGAGUGCGUAGGUUUGAGUGGCAUCAGUUUUUGACACUGUUGGUGAUAAGGUUUCCGUGGUUGACUAUGUGAUACAGGUGUGCUCCCAUCAUGCCCACCUCACUGCUAUUUUUCUUUGGGCAUGUUGAUAGAUGGUAUGGAUUAUUCCUGACCACUUCACUGAGUAGCUCAUCUAUUUAAAAUCCUCAUAGGAAUCCUAAUAUAUUGUCUGUGUCCUUCCAUAGGAAUUGGUUUAGUUCUUCCUAUUUUUGGAUUUAGUUGAUCGGUGUGGCUGAAUAAUUCCUUCCUAAUAGUUGUCCAUUCACUCUUCGAUCAUGACGUUUCUCAGCUUUGUCGUCAUAUGCGAUGGUCCACUGUUAACCAUGUGGAUUUUUAAUGUUAGUUGUACAAUACAAGAAUAUACAGUUUGCAUUUUUCUUGCAGGUAGGUCUCAAGAGCCAAUGAAAAUGGAAUCUUCCUAAUAUAGAGUGUAGUGACAUUGUCGGUGUGACCAUGGAGUUCCAAAGCCAUCAAUUCCCGUUGUAGCUCGGCAGUUCCAAUAUAAUUUUUAAUUUUUUUUAAUUUAAGUAUUCAGUAUUUGACAUACAAGAUGCAGAUUUUAAAUCAACAAAAAAUGAUGUUGUCUA